rnacentral:rRNA from 1 species
GACAGAGGGUGCAAACGUUGCUCGGAAUUACUGGGCGUAAAGCGCGUGUAGGCGGACUGGUGUGUCGGAUGUGAAAUCCCCAGGCUCAACCUGGGAACUGCAUUCGAAACUGCCAGCCUUGAGUGGUGGAGAGGGAAGUGGAAUUCCUGGUGUAGCGGUGAAAUGCGCAGAUAUCAGGAGGAACACCGGUGGCGAAGGCGGGUCUCUGGGCCGAUACUGACGCUGAGGAGCGAAAGCGUGGGGAGCGAACAGG